CUCACACGUUUAACAAAAGGAUCAUUCUAUUUUGCAGAAAGAUAGUACAAAAAUUUUUUUUGGUACAAUAUUAGCAUCUGGUUCUGACGUCGCCUUCCCGGGGUCAGUCGGAACUGCAAGUGUCCUACUGGAAUCAGGAAAAGAAAUAACCACAGAGAAUCAUUGGUGAUUCAACAAGACAUGCGGUGCCGUUCGCAGGCUAUCAAGUGCACACACCUCCUCCAUACAGGAUGUGAAGAAUGUUUGAAUGGGCAAAAGUAAACACUGGCUUGGGGAAAAACAACUUGCUCCUUCUGCUGAACUCAGAGAAGAAGAUCAUUCGCUGAACAGUACCGAGUGCUGCUGUUGGCCCACAAACAGUGUUACGGAGAAAACCAGCACUGUGUACUGAAGAGAAAAGGAAUAAGACUUGAUCCAUGGCACUUAAGGGCCUCCUAAACCCAGAGGCACAAAAAAGGCAGAACCAACCCUGGCAAAAGUGGAACAUGCUAUACUUAAGCCCAUAUGGAAAGAUGAACCCAAAUGUUCCUCCUGUCGUCUGAGUGAAGGAGCAGCGCCUGCCUCUAAUUGGAACAGUGAAGAGAUUUGUUUUUCCUAUUGCGCAGGAUGAGAUAAAGACAUGGAACAAACACACUUACCUCUUGACUAAGAAUCUAGUAAGGCAAAUUAGUUGGCUUCAAUUUGGUUCCCAGAACAUUAAUAUAAACCUUG